UACGUAGGGUGCAAGCGUUGUCCGGAAUUAUUGGGCGUAAAGAGCUCGUAGGCGGUCUGUCGCGUCGGCUGUGAAAACCCGGGGCUCAACCCCGGGCCUGCAGUCGGUACGGGCAGACUAGAGUGCGGUAGGGGAGACUGGAAUUCCUGGUGUAGCGGUGAAAUGCGCAGAUAUCAGGAGGAACACCGGUGGCGAAGGCGGGUCUCUGGGCCGUAACUGACGCUGAGGAGCGAAAGCGUGGGGAGCGAACAGG
rnacentral:rRNA from 1 species